CGCCACGGCGCAAGCGUGACCACAUCACUGUGCUCAACCACUUUCCCGCUACAUCGCGACAGUGCUACAUUAGUGUGUGCAACAAGAUUAUGGAUAUCCACACUCUGGACCCUACUGGUCUUUAUUAAGAACAAUUUCAUAUUCACAAAAUCAAAAAUGGAAGUGAAAACUCUCGACCCUACCGGCCAGUACUAAUCCUGGAAACCACGAAAUUUGGACAUCGGUGUGUAUUUUCUAAUUAGAAUUUAAAAAUGGACAAAGUACUAGAUCCUACUGGGCAAUAUUAACAAUGGUCGGAUUAGACCCUACAGAAGUAUACUAAACCAAGAUGUGUUGCGGAAGACGAAGGAUUUUGACUGGCACACGCCCGGAAGAGACGUCAUCGUGCAGAAAAAGGAGGUUUAGUGCACCGUCGUGCUGACUGAUCAAUAACGACUCGCCGCAACCUGUAAAUAGUAUGAAUAAAAAGCUAGGGGACGUCGCCGCAAGGUUAUUGCAUGGAAAUCAGCUGACCGCGCGCCUGUCAUCCGGAAAUGUACACUUAUCGGAAAAACGCAGCGAUCACCUCAAAAUGUAGCAGCUCAACGUUCCGGACUGACGAUUCCUAAUUCAAACACAUAAUGACAUCACUGCCACUCAUCCCAGUCUUUACAAUACAUCGCUUUCAUCUUUCAUCAAUUUCACCGUCUACAUCCAUUACGAAACAAUACUCACUAGAUUUAGUUUAAAUAUCGACUGAUAAUUAUUCUCCCAAUGCACAUAUCUAUCAUGCAUUUGUAUUUUUUAAAUAUAAAUUAUUGUAUUUUAAAACUUAAGAACGCAUGCUUUAUUUAUAAAAAAGUCAAAUUUGGAAUUAAGAAUACCAGAUUCUGCAGCUGACAAGUUUGGCGGCUGAGCAAAUGUCGAAUACUCAACCUUUUUCGAUUCAAAAACAAUAAGAUUUUUUUUAUUAGUAAAGCACCGCGUGUAGAAUAAGAAAAGAAAAAUGACAAGCAUAAAGAGGCAAAGGUAUUUUGAACGGUUUUCUUCAUUUUCCACUUGUAAAUUAUAUCGGGAAACCUUCAAAAUUCUACCACAUAUAUUUUUUAUUCAGUAGGGACACAUUAUCAUAGACUAUAAGGUUUUGAGAUUUCGGCUCCUCAAUACGUAUUUUUCCGCAUAAUUCGAGUUACCAUGUUAGCCUUCCGCUUUUACAAAUUGUAAAUAAAGUAAAUGCUUUUCUUUUGCUGUUGCUAUUAAUUAAUUUACUAUACACAAAAUUCCUUGUUGACAAAAUGGUAACAAACACAGAAUAAAGAUUUAUUCAAAAAUAUAAAUAUAUAUGUACGAAAAAUGUCAAAAUUAGAAUGUUCUUUUUAUGCCUACCAACAAUAUCAAAACUUUAGUGUAUUUUUGUUAAAGAACACCUUAUUUUUUGGCAAGUUUUGGCAAGAAGGAAUUUUCGAAGAGAAUGUUUUAAUUGAAAUAAAAUAAAGUUGAACAUUAUAUUUUUGUAGAUAUUAAUUAAAAUAAGACUGCGAUAGUUUGGAAUUCAGUGUUGCCUAUAGACUGAAUGAAAAUUGAACGCUAAUUUCUUUUUUCUUAAAAAAGGCCCAGAAAGGAUCCCACCCUAGGUUAGUUUGAAAUUUAUUAUGUAAUUAUGCAAUAGUGUAAGGACAAUAAAGAUGUUUUAUAUUAUUUUGAAACAUU